rnacentral:rRNA from 1 species
GGGUUAGCAAUAACUCUUAGUGGCGAACGGGUGAGUAACGCGUUGGUGACCUGCCCCAAAGACGGGGAUAACAGCUCGAAAGGGCUGCUAAUACCGGAUGAGGUUACGUUGGUUAGAGUGACGUAACGAAAGGAGCAAUCCGCUUUGGGAGGGGCCUGCGUCCCAUCAGCUAGUUGGUAAGGUAAAAGCUUACCAAGGCGAAGACGGGUAGGGGACCUGAGAGGGUGAUCCCCCACACUGGCACUGAAACACGGGCCAGACACCUACGGGUGGCAGCAGUAGGGAAUAUUGCACAAUGGGCGAAAGCCUGAUGCAGCAACGCCGCGUGCGCGAAGAAGGCCUUCGGGUCGUAAAGCGCUUUUCUGGGAGAUGAGGAAGGACAGUAUCCCAGGAAUAAGGCUCGGCUAACUACGUGCCAGCAGCCGCGGUAAAACGUAGGAGCCAAGCGUUAUCCGAAUUCACUGGGCGUAAAGCGCGUGCAGGCGGCCUGGUAAGUUGGAUGUGAAAUCUCCUGGCUCAACUGGGAGAGGCCGUUCAAUACUGCUGGGCUAGAGGGCGACAGAGGGAGGUGGAAUUCCGGGUGUAGUGGUGAAAUGCGUAGAUAUCCGGAGGAACACCAGAGGCGAAGGCGACCUCCUGGGUCGUACCUGACGCUCAGACGCGAAAGCUAGGGGAGCGAACGGGAUUAGAAACCCCGGUAGUCCUAGCCGUAAACGAUGUAGACUGGGUGUCGGCGGGGUAAAAGCCGUCGGUGCCGAAGCCAACGCGAUAAGU